UUUCUCAAAGGCAUACUUAGUCUGUAAGUGAAAUUGAGCACUCUAUUGCUUAUUGAUUUCUUCCUAAAGUCAAAGUGUGCCAUUUUCACUUGGCUCCAAUUGAGCUUAUAUAUGUCUAUGCAACUUCUGUUGACCUUGUUAUUGUUGUAGCCUCCUUUCAAUCUAGUGGAGGAAUUUAUUGAGGCUUUGAUUUAUAGUUUGAAAUUCAUGAAUUCAUAUAAGUAGUGGAAUAUUCCAGUGAACUAAUAUGUUGGUCAAACGAAACCUAAGCAAAACUUGGUCUUUACUGUUUCUCAUACUUACGCAUGUAAUAAAUGAUGUAGCAUUUGGUGCUGAACUUUGUGUUGUAAUAUCUAAAGAGAUAAUCUAGAAAUUACCAUAUCAAACUCUUCCUUUUGAGGUGAGUCAUGAUUAUUCAGUAAGAAUUAAAUCAACCCUUUCUUUUUCUUGACUAACUUAGAAUAAAUAAAACUUUUAUUUCAAUACCCAUGAAAGAGAAAAAUGGAGAUGUAGCCUUACACCAAGUGAAAUGGAGGAAAAAGAUCCAUAUGUCUAACCCCAACUAGUUUGGGAUUA
rnacentral:misc_RNA from 1 species